GGGUUGUGAGGUUAAGCGACUAAGCGUACACGGUGGAUGCCCUGGCAGUCAGAGGCGAUGAAGGGCGUGCUAAUCUGCGAUAAGCGCCGGUAAGGUGAUAUGAACCGUUAUAACCGGCGAUACCCGAAUGGGGAAACCCAGUGUGAUUCGUCACACUAUCAUUAACUGAAUCCAUAGGUUAAUGAGGCGAACCGGGGGAACUGAAACAUCUAAGUACCCCGAGGAAAAGAAA
rnacentral:rRNA from 2 species